rnacentral:rRNA from 1 species
CCUACGGGCGGCAGCAGUGAGGAAUAUUGGUCAAUGGGCGCGAGCCUGAACCAGCCAAGUAGCGUGAAGGAUGACUGCCCUACGGGUUGUAAACUUCUUUUAUGAAGGAAUAAAGUGAGGCACGUGUACCUUUUUGUAUGUACUUUAUGAAUAAGGAUCGGCUAACUCCGUGCCAGCCGCCGCGGUAAGACGGAGGAUCCGAGCGUUAUCCGGAUUUAUUGGGUUUAAAGUGAGCGUAGAUGGGUUGUUAAGUCAGUUGUGAAAGUUUGCGGCUCAACCGUAAAAUUGCAAUUGAUACUGGCAGCCUUGAGUACAGUUGAGGUAGGCGGAAUUCGUGGUGUAGCGGUGAAAUGCUUAGAUAUCACGAAGAACUCCGAUUGCGAAGGCAGCCUACUAAACUGACACUGACAUUGAUGCUCGAAAGUGUGGGUAUCAAACAGGAUUAGAUAUCCUAGUAGUC